CUUCCUCCUGUGCUGUGGCCCAGAUAAGUUUCCUCGAGGUUAAACUUUCGCAGGUGUUUCCUCUCCAGAUGAAGGUGUGGAAAUUCCCGUGAAUGGAACUUCUACCCUUAAUAGAAAUUCUCUGGUUUUAUUCUCUUGAAUCAUCCAAAUAUCAGGAUCAGAGAUGGCCACCACACAAAGUGACAUUCAGCUCUGAUCAACAAGCCAAAGGGAUUAAACUGACACUGGUAUGACACAUAGAGAAGCAGCAGAGAGGAAGGUCCCCUGUACCCAGCUGUGUAUCCAAGAAGAGUGAUUGAUCAAUGGAUGGCAAGAUGUACUUCGAAGAUGGACGUCGUUCUUAUGACCCAGUCCCAGAGAAGCAGCACAGACCUAUACCUGGACCUAGACCUAGACCUAAACCUAAACCUGGACCUGGCCCUGGACCUGGCCCUGG